GGCGAUUCUCAGGUGAGGUACCCCAGAACUGGGCUCCCUCCUCUCUGGUUCCAGGUGUGUCACCCAAGAACCACA
rfam:Myotis davidii contig35596, whole genome shotgun sequence.